AAGAACGGAGAAUGAAAGCGAAACUGAAAAGCCACCCGUCGCCGCUAGGAGCGCGCGCGCAGCAGCAGAGAGCCGAAACCGAAAACACCCGCGGCCGGCGCAGGGGGCGCUAGGAGCGCGCGCGCGCGCAUGCGCGGACGGGUGGAGCAGAGGGCGCGCGCGCGUCGCCUCUCUCAGUUUCUCUCGGACCGUCGCGGAAGACGGACGUGCGCUCCGCGCGCUCGCUCAGUUGCUGGCUGGAUCUCGUAGGGAGCAGACGUAUGUUCUCCGCGCUCGCUCAGUUUCUGCCUGGAAGUUGCCGCGGGGGAAAAGAGCUAUGACGGUGGCGGCAUCUGGUGUGAUGCCUUGCAACUACGUGGCCACCUGUCGUCGAUCUCUGCAACUGCUGGGUGCAAACUACCAACAUGGCGGGCGCUGGUCACUCGGGUGUUGCGGAGCGGCUUCUUCGCCGCGGCAUCGUUGAUUUUCGAAUAAAUUGUUUCUCUCCACUCUA